rnacentral:rRNA from 1 species
UACGUAGGGACCAAGCGUUGUUCGGAUUUACUGGGCGUAAAGGGCGCGUAGGCGGCAAUUCAAGUCAUCUGUGAAAUCUCCGGGCUUAACUCGGAACGGUCAGAUGAUACUGCUUUGCUAGAGUGCGGAAGGGGCAAUCGGAAUUCUUGGUGUAGCGGUGAAAUGCGUAGAUAUCAAGAGGAACACCUGAGGUGAAGACGGGUUGCUGGGCCGACACUGACGCUGAUAGCGCGAAAGCCAGGGAGCAAACGG